rnacentral:rRNA from 1 species
CGGACGGGUGAGUAACGCGUGAGAAUCUGCCCUCAGGAGGGGGAUAACGGUUGGAAACGACCGCUAAUACCCCAUAUGCCUAUUGGUGAAAUGAAUUUCGCCUGAGGAUGAGCUCGCGUCUGAUUAGCUUGUUGGUGAGGUAAUGGCUCACCAAGGCUUCGAUCAGUAGCUGGUCUGAGAGGAUGAUCAGCCACACUGGGACUGAGACACGGCCCAGACUCCUACGGGAGGCAGCAGUGGGGAAUUUUCCGCAAUGGGCGAAAGCCUGACGGAGCAACGCCGCGUGAGGGACGAAGGCCUCUGGGCUGUAAACCUCUUUUCUCAAGGAAGAAGAUAUGACGGUACUUGAGGAAUAAGCCACGGCUAAUUCCGUGCCAGCAGCCGCGGUAAUACGGGAGUGGCAAGCGUUAUCCGGAAUUAUUGGGCGUAAAGCGUCCGCAGGCGGCUUUUCAAGUCUGCUGUUAAAGCGUGGAGCUUAACUCCAUCAUGGCAGUGGAAACUGAAAGGCUUGAGUAUGGUAGGGGCAGAGGGAAUUCCCGGUGUAGCGGUGAAAUGCGUAGAUAUCGGGAAGAACACCAGUGGCGAAGGCGCUCUGCUGGGCCAUUACUGACGCUCAUGGACGAAAGCCAGGGGAGCGAAAGGGAUUAGAUACCCCAGUAGUC